CUCCCGGAACCGGGAGGCGGACGCAUUUGCGGGUUGGUGGUGUCCCGGCGGCUGCGGUGGCUGUGUUUCUGCACUGCCUGCUCUCAGCCCACAGCCGAGCCGCGGGGAGAGAGGGGCGCGGAGCCAGAGGCCCCGCGACUCCCAGCCCCGCGCUUGGGGUCCGCAGGCGCCUGGUUCUGCGCGCCCCGCCACCUGCCCCGCGCCGCCUCCGCGGUCCAACUUGGACGGAGUUGGGGUCCUGCGCGCCUGCCCCCCACAGCCGGCCAGCGGAAAGCCCCGCGCAGCCGCCGCCGCUCCGGGCCCCUCUCCGCGGCUCUCCGGGCCCCUCUCUGCUGCUCUGCGCUCCCGCUGCGGGAAAAGUGAGCGCGGGCGGCGGCUCCUCCCGGGGCUGAGCGCGCUCCUCGCCGGCGCGGGGCUCUGGGUCCUCGGCACCCGGGUGCGGUGGCGGCUCCUGCGGGGUCCCGCGGUCCCAGGGCCCCGCCCCGGGGACGCCCGCACCUAAAGCGGCGAGGCCCGGCUGCUGCCACUCCUUUGCCUCUCUCUGCGCGCUCCUUCUACUGAGGAGGGUAUGGCGGGGACGCGAACUGCGGAUGUCGGAGAGUGCAGGGCUCAAGAUCGGAACUCAGGCAAAGCCGCCCGCUUGGAGCUGGAGGAGUUAAGGCCAAUCAGCAGCGCAUUUACUCUUGACAGGCGACUCCACACGCAUCUAAGCUUUGUAUUGUUCUGGCCACAACAGGAGCCCGAGGAGAGAAGAGUCAUGCAGGACAGUGGCUUCUAUGGAAAUAUCUCCAUGUUCCUCAGUGGUAUCUGAGGUGAGCUUAUAUUUAUUCAACAAAAUAGGCACAUACUGUUGUGCACAGUAAUAAAUUAGGACUGUUAUUCAUCGUAUAAAAGUAAUUACUCUUGGGUUCAACUGUGAGCUACCGUGAGCUUCCUGGGAGCAUUUCAAAUAGGAUUAUAGUAGCAAACAUGAAGUAACUCAGAACCUUUGAGCCCUUGAAUUGAUAGAGGUCUGCCCUUUUUGCUCUUUGCUGCUGAUGUCUGUUCCCAUACAGCUAGCCAAGAGGGAUCCCAGGAGCUGGAUUUCAGUUUUCCUGAAGUGGGGAUAAGGGAAUGACUAUGAGAAAUCAAAGAGCCCAUACAGUGAUGGGAAAUUAAGGAUUCUGAGAAUGAAGAACUGAAAUGUGCUGUGUGGUGAGGGCAUGAUACUUGGAAUGCUUUGAAUUUAUGACUGCUAGUGCCAAGUGGCUAGUGUUCUCCUUUCUACCCUCUAAUAAAUUUAACCUGUGCUCAGAUUCCCAAAGCCCAACCUGUCACAGUAUAGCCCUUUCCUGUUUUGUGCUUUUCCCCAGGGUGUUGUCAUCUGGGAGUUUAAGAAACUUGGAAAAUGGAAAAUGGGAAAUGCAGAUAGGCUACAGCCAGGGCCUCACUUUCCCAGCAUCCCCUGAAGCUCACGGAUGGUCACCCACACCCCACCUCAGACCUGAACUGAAAGUGGCUGAUGGGAAGAUGCAGAGACGGAGCACCGGAUGGCUGUGCCCAGGUGGGGAGGCAGCGGAGCCCAUGACUCUAGGUUCUGGUGCUGAGGCUGCCAGCCCUGCAGGCAUGGGUGUUUGGACCUGGGCAGCAACAUCCACUGUAUCUUCCCAGGAUUAGCGUAUCACAUUCCUGGCCAGGUGGCCCCCACCCUACUUUUUUGGGUCCCAGGGAAUUACCUAAGUGUAUACUUUUUGGGCUGAAACUAACGAGAGUGGAUCUCUAGUGCUUAUAAGGAAAAUUCUGGCUGAUUACAGCAUUGUGCUUUUUAAAUCUAACAUUGUACUGUAAGCAAAUUCUGUAAUGUUACAUAUCUCUGACCUGUUAGAAAAGUGGGUCAUUUCAAAACAAACCUGCAGUGGAUAUAUUUGUGUGUAUAACUUCUUUUUCCCUUGCAUAAUUUUUUGAUGAAUAUUCCGAGAACCGUGUCCACUGGGUCAAAGAGUGUGAACUCUGUAUAUCACUGUGCUUUCCUAAAAAGUGGUAACAAUUUGUAUUGCUGUCAGCAGUAUAUGUGUAAGUAAGUGCUAAUUUUAUUGCAUCUUUAUUUAUAUGGGAGGUAUUAUCAAUGACAAAUAUUUCUACUAUCCUCUUGGGUGAAAAACAGCACCUUAAUGUUUUAAAGUUCAUUUCUGUGAUUACUAGGGAGAAUAACAUUGUUCCCUUAUUUUGUUUACUAGUUGGGAUUUCCACUGAUUUUUUUCUGUUCACCAUGCAGGAAUGUAAAGUAGACAUAUAUAAACAUGGGAUGAGCUUCUCAGGAGGGUUACAAGUCCAAAAUUGCUGCACCUAUUUGAGCAGACUGGGCAACUAGAUGAAGUCCUGAUGUCAGGGCGGGGGAUUCAAGAGGAAGAGAUUUGGUUUCAUCAGAAAGUGCGGGCACCUGAUACUCCCCUGCUACAUCACCAGGAGUUCAUCAUCCUGAGUCAGAGGGUGAGAAGACAGAAAGUCAGAGAGGUCAAGCACCUCAGCUAGAGCUCUUCAGGGAUACACUAAAGCUUUGAAUCUGAGUGUCUCAUUCCUGAUUGAAGCCUACCUUUGCUACAGAGAUGGACCUUGAGUUCAUUCUUCAGGCUCAGAGACCAAGUUGCUGUGAUGCAAGAGACCAAGAGGAAAGAGCCACCAAGUCCAUUUGAGGUCCUUGGAGCUGUCCUGAUCACCCCCCCCCCCCCCCACCACAAGCCCGAUCCUAUGACCUGGAUAUACAACUAUUUCUUGGAUUUAGUAAUAAACCCUGGUAUCAUUUCCUAUUUGCUUAAGUUAGUUUUGUUACUUACAGAUCAAAAGAACCUAAUACCCAUAAUCAAGCUCACCCAUAUUGGGGGUUGGAAUACAGAUUGGUUGAACUCCAGGAAGGGCAACUGUUUAUAUUUACUACCAAAUGGUGUAGGUGAUUGCUGCCCAAUAAGAAAUUAUGAUCUGUAGAUGUUUGUUUUGAAGAAUAAAAGAAACAUUUCUGUAACUUUUCCCUUGUUCAUGUUUGAUAGAUUUAAAUGCUUUUUCUUUU